CUCCUCUUCAGCUCCACCGUUGUAUUCAAACAUGGUCACCUCCGUCUCCAGCUCCUCCUCCAGCAUUAUACUGAACAUCUCCUGCACAAAGUUGUUCUCAUGUAGCGCUCCUCCUCAGCUCCACCCUCUCCUCAAGUCACCUGUGGCUCCAGGAACAGGAGGUGAAAUCUAAAGAAGAGCCGUGAACAACAGAACAGAGGAGACAGGAAGCAGCACAGAGGACACAGACAGGAUGAGGCUGAAUGAACAGACCGACAACGAGAGAGAAGAAGAAAAGACGAGAGACAAGUG